rnacentral:rRNA from 1 species
AAAGGAAUAGACGGGGGCCCGCACAAGCGGCGGAGCAUGCGGAUUAAUUCGAUGCAACGCGAAGAACCUUACCUGGGUUUGACAUCACCCGGAAACCACUGGAGACAGUGGCCUCUUCGGACUGGGUGACAGGUGGUGCAUGGCUGUCGUCAGCUCGUGUCGUGAGAUGUUGGGUUAAGUCCCGCAACGAGCGCAACCCUUAUCCUAUGUUGCCAGCGCGUUAUGGCGGGGACUCAUGGGAGACUGCCGGGGUCAACUCGGAGGAAGGUGGGGAUGAGGUCAAGUCAUCAUGCCCCUUAUGUCCAGGGCUUCACGCAUGCUACAAUGGCCGGUACAGAGGGCUGCGAUACCGUGAGGUGGAGCGAAUCUCUUAAAGCCGGUCUCAGUUCGGAUCGGGGUCUGCAACUCGACCCCGUGAAGUCGGAGUCGCUAGUAAUCGCAGAUCAGCAACGCUGCGGUGAAUACGUUCCCGGGCCUUGUACACACCGCCCGU